UACGGAGGGGGCUAGCGUUGUUCGGAAUUACUGGGCGUAAAGCGCACGUAGGCGGCUCUGUAAGUUAGAGGUGAAAGCCCGGGGCUCAACUCCGGAAUUGCCUUUAAGACUGCAUCGCUAGAACGUCGGAGAGGUAAGUGGAAUUCCGAGUGUAGAGGUGAAAUUCGUAGAUAUUCGGAAGAACACCAGUGGCGAAGGCGACUUACUGGACGACUGUUGACACUGAGGUGCGAAAGCGUGGGGAGCAAACAGG
rnacentral:rRNA from 1 species